GUGAAAGUUGCCUUAAAAUCUCUCCUUGAAAUACAACAAAGUUUGAUACUUUUAACCUCUGUGAGAUUCCCAACACAUUUUGUUGAAAUGAUUUAUUUACUUAUGUGUCAUAUUGUUGUCUUUAUUUGAAGAAUUCAGCGUGAAGCCUACCACAUACCAUAUGACUAAUAAUUGUGUCUUGAAUGAAUAUUUGAACAAAUGAAUAAAUCAGUCAAACUGGGUCCCUGGACCAUGCAGAGAACAACUGUCCCUUCCUCUUUGGUGGUUUCCUCACAACUCUUGAGGUGCUCCUUGUCUGUGGCACAGAGGUGCAGACCAAGUCACUGGGACAUGGCCAAUGGAAUGUUUCCACGGCAACAGUGGCAGCAAUUCAGGACACUGCGCCAGAGGAGUAAAAUUCCUGUCUAG
rnacentral:lncRNA from 1 species